CAGCUUACCAUGCAGUCGAGCGGUAACAGGGGGUGCUUGCACCCCGCUGACGAGCGGCGGACGGGUGAGUAAUGCAUAGGAAUCUGCCCAGUAGUGGGGGAUAGCCCGGGGAAACCCGGAUUAAUACCGCAUACGCCCUUUGGGGGAAAGCAGGGGAUCUUCGGACCUUGCGCUAUUGGAUGAGCCUAUGUCGGAUUAGCUAGUUGGUGGGGUAAAGGCCUACCAAGGCGACGAUCCGUAGCUGGUCUGAGAGGAUGAUCAGCCACAUCGGGACUGAGACACGGCCCGAACUCCUACGGGAGGCAGCAGUGGGGAAUAUUGGACAAUGGGGGCAACCCUGAUCCAGCCAUGCCGCGUGUGUGAAGAAGGCUUUCGGGUUGUAAAGCACUUUCAGUGAGGAGGAAAACCUUCUGGUUAAUACCCAUGAGGCUUGACGUUACUCACAGAAGAAGCACCGGCUAACUCCGUGCCAGCAGCCGCGGUAAUACGGAGGGUGCAAGCGUUAAUCGGAAUUACUGGGCGUAAAGCGCGCGUAGGUGGUUUGAUAAGCGAGAUGUGAAAGCCCCGGGCUUAACCUGGGAACGGCAUUUCGAACU
rnacentral:rRNA from 1 species